rnacentral:ribozyme from 2 species
UCUAUAGCUCUGCCUGUAGCUCUUCUAGAGUUACUGCCGGUCCCAAGCCCGGGUAAAGGAGGAGGGUUGA